CAAAGACCACAUUCAAACCUUCAGGAGUUAGGGUGUCAAGAGUAAACAUCAAUCUCAUCUCGGAUUUGCUUAAAAUGUUAUCUUUACAACCCCCCCCCCUUCAGUGGACUUUGAUUUUUUUCUAUCCCUAAAAAUUCUAGAACUUCUUUUUUUAUAUUAUUAAUAUGUUCGCUUAUGCGUACUUUUAAUUUCCUAGUUGUCUUGCCUAUGUAUUGGUAACCAUAUGGACAGGUGAGUAAAUAAAUAACAUCUGUUGUAUUGCAUGUAAUCAGGGAUUGAAUAUUAUGUUCUUUAUUUGGAGUUUUCCUGAGUGAAAAAACUUUAACAUUUCAGUUUGAGCUUUGUCUUAACUUACACCAUACACAACU